rnacentral:lncRNA from 1 species
GCUCUUUGAAGAUAUUUAUAACUUCAAUGAGUUCACAUAUUUAUCAGGCAUUAAUUUCAAACCAUUUAACUAUCUUUCAGCAAAAUGAGAGAUCAAUGGGCUAAAAGAUUUUCAGUUGAAUUUCUUGUUUUCCAUUUUAGUGAAUCAUAACUUUAUGUCAAAUUUUUAAAUGAAAAUUCACAUUCAUGCAGAUAACACAUUCCGUGGCCAUGAUUAUCAAUAUUCACCACUUAUGAAGAGUAAAGGACCAUCUCCAGCCCCCGUGGACUCGUAGAUGGUCAGUUGUAAUAUCAGUGACUCAUUUAUGGUUUUCAGAUCACAAAUAUAGUCUUCUAAAUUCCUAUUUCCAAUAAAAUAUGUUUUAUAGAAUCAGUUCCACUGCCCUUAUGAUAAGUUUUACAGAUAAUUUGAUUUGAGUUUGCCAAUUUUGUGAUUUUUGCAUUUGAAGUAGAAUAUGUCUAUCAAAAGAUAUACUUUCUCUUUUUGGCAACAGAAUAUGGUAUUUCAUUUUCACUGCAUGACAUCCUUAGUCAUAAAUGAGUUCUCAGAA